rnacentral:rRNA from 1 species
AGAGUUUGAUUAUGGCUCAGAUUGAACGCUGGUGGCAGGCCUAAUAUAUGUAAGUUGAGUGAGAAAGGUUUUUGGAUUGAGUAUAGUGGUGGAUGGGUGAGUAAUGCGUAGGAAUUUAUUUGGUAGUGGGGGACAAUAUGGGGAAAUUUAUGUUAAUAUUGUAUAUGUUUUAUGGGGGAAAGUGGGGGAUUUUUGGGUUUCGCGCUAUCAGAUGAGUUGCGUAGGAUUAGUUUGUUGGUGAGGUAAAGGUUCACCAAGGUGACGAUCCUUAGCUGGUCUGAGAGGAUGAUCAGUUACAUUGGGAUUGAGAUAUGGUUUAGAUUUUUAUGGGAGGUAGUAGUGGGGAAUAUUGUGUAAUGGGCGAAAGCCUGAUGCAGCCAUGCCGCGUGUGUGAAGAAGGCCUUAGGGUUGUAAAGCAUUUUUAAUUGGGAAGAAAGGUUGCGUGUUAAUAGCACGUAGCUGUGAUGUUAUUUUUAGAAGAAGUAUUGGCUAACUCCGUGUUAGUAGUUGUGGUAAUACGGAGGGUGCGAGCGUUAAUCGGAAUUACUGGGCGUAAAGCGUGCGUAGGCGGUUUGUUAAGUCGGAUGUGAAAGUCCCGGGUUUAAUUUGGGAAUUGCAUUCGAUAUUGGUUGAUUAGAGUACGAGAGAGGGAGGUAGAAUUCCAUGUGUAGUGGUGAAAUGUGUAGAUAUGUGGAGGAAUAUCGGUGGUGAAGGUGGCCUCCUGGCUCGAUAUUGAUGUUGAGGUGCGAAAGUGUGGGUAGUAAAUAGGAUUAGAUAUUUUGGUAGUUUAUGUUGUAAAUGAUGUUUAUUAGUUGUUGGGAGAUUUGAUUUUUUAGUGGUGUAGUUAAUGUAUUAAGUAGACCGCCUGGGGAGUAUGGCCGUAAGGUUAAAACUUAAAUGAAUUGACGGGGGCCUGUAUAAGUGGUGGAGCAUGUGGUUUAAUUUGAUGCAAUGUGAAGAAUUUUAUCAGGUCUUGAUAUCCUGAGAACUUUUUAGAGAUAGAUUGGUGUUUUCGGGAAUUUAGAGAUAGGUGCUGCAUGGCUGUCGUCAGCUCGUGUUGUGAGAUGUUGGGUUAAGUUUUGUAACGAGCGUAACCCUUGUCCUUAUUUGUUAGUAUGUUAUGGUGGGAAUUUUAAGGAGACUGCCGGUGAUAAACCGGAGGAAGGUGGGGACGACGUUAAGUCAUUAUGGCCCUUACGACCUGGGUUAUAUAUGUGUUAUAAUGGAAUGUAUAGAGGGUUGUAACCCUGUGAGGGUGAGUUAAUUUUAU